rnacentral:rRNA from 1 species
AUUAAACGCUGGCGGAAUGCUUUACACAUGCAAGUCGAGCGGCAGCGCGGGGCAACCUGGCGGCGAGCGGCGAACGGGUGAGUAACAUAUCGGAACGUACCCAGUCGUGGGGGAUAACUAUCCGAAAGGAUAGCUAAUACCGCAUACGACCUGAGGGUGAAAGGGGGGGAUCGCAAGACCUCUCGCGAUUGGAGCGGCCGAUAUCGGAUUAGCUAGUUGGUGAGGUAAAGGCUCACCAAGGCGACGAUCCGUAGCUGGUCUGAGAGGACGACCAGCCACACUGGAACUGAGACACGGUCCAGACUCCUACGGGAGGCAGCAGUGGGGAAUUUUGGACAAUGGGGGCAACCCUGAUCCAGCCAUUCCGCGUGAGUGAAGAAGGCC